rnacentral:piRNA from 1 species
UGGACAUAUCCAUAGAUGAAUGCUGGGU